rnacentral:tRNA from 1 species
UCCCUGAUAGCUCAGUUGGUAAAGAAUCUGCUUGCAAUGCAGGAGACCCCAGUUCAAUUCCUGGGUCAGGAA